rnacentral:piRNA from 1 species
UGGAGUUUCAAGAGUUUGUUAGGCACA